GGGGGGAAAAUUAAUAAUAAAAUUUAAAAAAAAAAUUUUUAAAAAUGUAUUUUAAUGGGGGUUAAAGUAUAUAUAUAGAAAAAAUUUUUUAAUUUAUAGUAAAAUAGUAUUAUAGAAGAAUUUUGAAAUAGGGGAAAGUAAUUUAUGAAAAAGUAAAUUUAGUUUAUUGUAUCUUGUGUAUCAGAGUUUAUUAAUAAUAAUUAUAAAAUAAUAAUUUCUCGAAUUUAAAAGAGUUAAUUAAUUAUAAAAGUUAAUGUAAAAUAAUUAUUUUUAAUAAUUAAUUGGAAAUGAAAUGUUAAUCGUUUUUAAAGAUAUCUAGUUUUUUUAGAAAAAAAUUUAAUUUUAAAUAUUAAAUUUAAAAUUUUUAUUGGGGGAAAAUUUUAUUAAUUAAUAUUAAAUAUUUUAGGGGAUAAGCUUUAAAGUAAAUUUUUAUAAUAAAUUAUUUAGGUAUAUUAAAAUUAUAAAAUUUAAAUUGUUUUAUAAAUUAUAAUUUUUUAUCAAUAAUUUAAUUUAAAUUAAGAUUUUAAAAAAAAAUUUAAAUUUUUAUAAAAAAUUAUAUUUUAAUAAAAUAAAAUUAGAUAUAAUGAUAAAAUUAGUAUAUAAUUUUUUUUUUAUGGGGAAAAUUAUUAAAAGUUAAUAAAAGGAAUUCGGCAAAAUUUUAUAUUCACUUGUUUAUCAAAAACAUGUCUUUUUGAAAAUAAUUUAAAGUCUAAUCUGCCCACUGAUAAAUUAUUAAAGGGCUGCAGUAUUUUGACUGUACAAAGGUAGCAUAAUCAAUAGUCUCUUAAUUGGUGACUUGUAUGAAAGAUUGGAUGAGAUAUAUACUGUCUCUAAUUAAUUUAUAGAAUUUAAUUUUUUAGUAAAAAAGCUAAAAUAAGUUUAAAAGACGAGAAGACCCUAUAGAGUUUAAUAAUUUAUUUAAUUAUUAUUAAUAUAUAAUUUUUAAAAUUAAAAUUAAAUAGAUUAUUUUGUUGGGGUGAUAGAAAAAUUAAAUUAACUUUUUUUUGUUAUUUACAUUAAUUUAUGAUUAAGUGAUCCAUUUAUAAUGAUUAAAAGAAAAAAUUACCUUAGGGAUAACAGCGUAAUUUUUUUUUUUAGUUCAAAUAGGAAAAAAAGUUUGCGACCUCGAUGUUGGAUUAAGAUAAAAUUUAAAUGCAAAAGUUUAAAAUUUUGAUCUGUUCGAUCAUUAAAAUCUUACAUGAUCUGAGUUCAAACCGGUGUAAGCCAGGUUGGUUUCUAUCUUUAAAAAAUUAUAAUAUUUUAGUACGAAAGGAUCAAAUAUUAAAAAUAAUUUUAUUAAAUGAAUAUUAUUAAUAGUUAUU
rnacentral:rRNA from 1 species